rnacentral:rRNA from 1 species
GGCAGCAGUGGGGAAUAUUGCACAAUGGGCGAAAGCCUGAUGCAGCGACGCCGCGUGAGGGAUGACGGCCUUCGGGUUGUAAACCUCUUUCAGUAGGGAAGAAGCGAAAGUGACGGUACCUGCAGAAGAAGCGCCGGCUAACUACGUGCCAGCAGCCGCGGUAAUACGUAGGGCGCAAGCG